GGUAUGAGAGUAGUGGACAGAAGGGA
rnacentral:piRNA from 1 species